UUUUAAAUGGCCGCAGUAUUUUGACUGUGCAAAGGUAGCAUAAUCAUUAGUUUUUUAAUUAAAAGCUUGUAUGAAAGGCUGGACGAGGUAAAAUCUGUCUCUAUUUAAAUUAUAGUAGAAUUUAACUUUUAAGUUAAAAGGCUUAAAUAUUAUUAAAAGACGAGAAGACCCUAUAGAUCUUUAUAAUUAAUUAAAUAAAAUUUAUUUAGAAUUAUUUAUGUUUUAUUUAAUUAAUUAUUUAAUUGGGGUAAUUGAAAGAUUGAAUUAAUUCUUUUUUAUAAUAAACAUUAAUUUAUGAAUAUUAAAUGAUCCAGUUUUACUGAUUAUAAGAUUAAGUUACCUUAGGGAUAACAGCGUAAUUUUUUUAGAGAGUUCAUAUCGAUAAAAAAGUUUGCGACCUCGAUGUUGGAUUAAAGAUUAUUUUAGGUGCAGAAGCUUAAUAAUUUUGGUCUGUUCGACCAUUGAAUCUUUACAUGAUCUGAGUUCAGACCGGCGUAAGCCAGGUCGGUUUCUAUCUUUAAUAAAAUAAAAUAUUUUAGUACGAAAGGACCAAGUAUUUGAUAUAUUUAUAUUUAGUUAAUUGAAUAUUA
rnacentral:rRNA from 1 species